AUUGAACGCUGGCGGCAGGCCUAACACAUGCGAGUCGAGCGGAUGAAGGGAGCUUGCUCCUGGAUUCAGCGGCGGACGGGUGAGUAAUGCCUAGGAAUCUGCCUGGUAGUGGGGGAUAACGUCCGGAAACGGGCGCUAAUACCGCAUACGUCCUGAGGGAGAAAGUGGGGGAUCUUCGGACCUCACGCUAUCAGAUGAGCCUAGGUCGGAUUAGCUAGUUGGUGGGGUAAAGGCCUACCAAGGCGACGAUCCGUAACUGGUCUGAGAGGAUGAUCAGUCACACUGGAACUGAGACACGGUCCAGACUCCUACGGGAGGCAGCAGUGGGGAAUAUUGGACAAUGGGCGAAAGCCUGAUCCAGCCAUGCCGCGUGUGUGAAGAGGUCUUCGGAUUGUAAAGCACUUUAAGUUGGGAGGAAGGGCAGUAAGUUAAUACCUUGCUGUUUUGACGUUACCAACAGAAUAAGCACCGGCUAACUUCGUG
rnacentral:rRNA from 1 species